AAAGAAGUUGUCCUUCAAAGCCUGAUGCAACAUCUUCCACAAGAGCAAUAACAACUACAGGAACACAAUACCCACAACAGAGUAUAAUACUUCCUAAUAGUCAUCAAUUGGAAGUACAAGAAAGAGAAGUAUUGUUGACAGUCAACAAGAAUCUACAAGUAAGGGAGGUGAAGCUAGAGCGAGCAGAAGUAAGUACAAGAGUCAAAGAGUUGUAGGACAUGGUGUAUUUAUAUCUAAGACCGGUUAUAGUUGUGUUAAUCAAGAUUUGCAUAGCAGCAGAUUAGUUACCACACCCACAGUGAUGAAUUCCGUUGAAGUUACAGGUGAUAUUGGGUAUAAGCCUAGCAAGUCUUUGAAGUGGAAAGGAAAGCCAUCUAUUAGUCAAAGAGAACUCCAAAUGAAAAGUACUAUGCAUAGAGUCCAAAAAAAAUCAAAGGCUAUUAAGAUUCAAACAACAUCUCAAACUGGAAAAUCUCCAUCCAAAGAAACAACAUAGGUUUGUUCUCUGAUUAAGUUAGCUUUUUGGUGUAUGCUUGGGAUGUAAUCAGAUAAUUACAACUUUCUUUUUGGUAGUAUUUUGUGUAGA